AUUCUGCCCAUGCGGGGAAGGAUGAGAAGCUUCGACCAAGGUUCGACUCGAGCGCCAGCGAGAGAGCGUUGCCGCAGGCAACGACCCGAAGGGCGAAGCGCGCAGCGCU
rnacentral:sRNA from 1 species